rnacentral:rRNA from 1 species
GCAUCGAUGAAGAACGCAGCGAAAUGCGAUAAGUAAUGUGAAUUGCAGAAUUCAGUGAAUCAUCGAAUCUUUGAACGCACAUUGCGCCCCUUGGUAUUCCGGGGGGCAUGCCUGUUCGAGCGUCAUUUCAACCCUCAAGCUUAGCUUGGUAUUGAGUCUAUGUCAGUAAUGGCAGGCUCUAAAAUCAGUGGCGGCGCCGCUGGGUCCUGAACGUAGUAAUAUCUCUCGUUACAGGUUCUCGGUGUGCUUCUGCCAAAACCCAAAUUUUUCUAUGGUUGACCUCGGAUCAGGUAGGGAUACCCGCUGAACUUAAGCAUAUCAAUAAGCGGAGGA